UACGGAGGGUGCAAGCGUUAAUCGGAAUUACUGGGCGUAAAGCGUGCGUAGGCGGUUCGUUAAGUCUGUUGUGAAAGCCCCGGGCUCAACCUGGGAAUGGCAAUGGAUACUGGCGAGCUAGAGUGUGUCAGAGGAUGGUGGAAUUCCCGGUGUAGCGGUGAAAUGCGUAGAGAUCGGGAGGAACAUCAGUGGCGAAGGCGGUUCUCUGGGCCUGUACUGACGCUGAGGAGCGAAAGCGUGGGGAGCAAACAGG
rnacentral:rRNA from 1 species